GACGAACGCUGGCGGCGUGCCUAAUACAUGCAAGUCGAACGAGAGCGACCGGUGCGUGCACUGGUCAAUCUAGUGGCGAACGGGUGAGUAACACGUGGGUAACCUGCCCAUCAGAGGGGGAUAACAUCCGGAAACGGAUGCUAAAACCGCAUAGGUCUUCGAGCCGCAUGGCUUGAAGAGGAAAAGAGGCGCAAGCUUCUGCUGAUGGAUGGACCCGCGGUGCAUUAGCUAGUUGGUGAGGUAACGGCUCACCAAGGCCGUGAUGCAUAGCCGACCUGAGAGGGUGAUCGGCCACAUUGGGACUGAGACACGGCCCAAACUCCUACGGGAGGCAGCAGUAGGGAAUCUUCCGCAAUGGACGCAAGUCUGACGGUGCAACGCCGCGUGAGUGAAGAAGGUUUUCGGAUCGUAAAACUCUGUUGUUAGAGAAGAACAAGUGCUAGAGUAACUGUUAGCGCCUUGACGGUAUCUAACCAGAAAGCCACGGCUAACUACGUGCCAGCAGCCGCGGUAAUACGUAGGUGGCAAGCGUUGUCCGGAUUUAUUGGGCGUAAAGCGAGCGCAGGCGGUUCCUUAAGUCUGAUGUGAAAGCCCCCGGCUCAACCGGGGAGGGUCAUUGGAAACUGGGGAACUUGAGUGCAGAAGAGGAGAGUGGAAUUCCAUGUGUAGCGGUGAAAUGCGUAGAUAUAUGGAGGAACACCAGUGGCGAAGGCGACUCUCUGGUCUGUAACUGACGCUGAGGCUCGAAAGCGUGGGUAGCAAACAGG
rnacentral:rRNA from 1 species